rnacentral:rRNA from 1 species
GAUGAACGCUGGCGGCGUGCCUAAUACAUGCAAGUCGAGCGAACAGAUAAGGAGCCUGCUCCUUUGACGUUAGCGGCGGACGGGUGAGUAACACGUGGGUAACCUACCUAUGAGACUGGGAUAACUUCGGGAAACCGGAUCUAAUACCGGAUAAUAUUUCGAACCGCAUGGUUCGAUAGUGAAAGAUGGUUUUGCUAUCACUUAUAGAUGGACCCGCGCCGUAUUAGCUAGUUGGUAAGGUAACGGCUUACCAAGGCUACGAUAGGUAGCCGACCUGAGAGGGUGAUCGGCCACACUGGAACUGAGACACGGUCGAGACUCCUACGGGGGGACGCAGUACGGAAUCUUCCGCAAUGGGGGAAAGCCUAACGGUGCAACGCCGGGUGAAUGAUGAAGCUCUUCGGACCGUAAAACGCUGUAAUUCGGGAAGAUCAUACGUGUAAGUAACUGUGCACGUCUUGACGGUACCUGAUCAGAAAGCCACGGCUAACUACGUG